rnacentral:misc_RNA from 1 species
UAGUGUGUUCUGUCGUCCGACCGUGGUCUGUGCUGUGUUUUUGGAUGUCCUCUCCGCUUGUGGAAAUUGCAUGCGACUUGUAAAUCUGUGUAUAGUGAUCGUGCAUCUGAUGCACGCGCUAAGCGCUGGUCAGCACCGUCAGUCUUAAUGCACGGGAAGGAGAUCGAAAAGCGGAGAGGCUCCGCGCGCGUCUUCUACGUGAUCUUGGUGUCCUAGAGCUCGCGCGCCAACGGGACUCUGGGCGGUUACGUCACAUACCAAGCAUUCAGACACGAUCAAAGUUAGUCUACUGGAAAUAUGGAAUUACGGUUGCACUCUCCAGCUGGAGCUGAACCCAUAGUAUAUCAGUGGCCCCUUACUUCUGGGUCAGGAUCAGAUCGACAUGACGGAGCACUCGAUGUUGUGGAAACAAUGCGAUGGGUAUGCGAAGAUUUACCCGAUUUGAAAAUACCUCUGGAAAAUAACAUUCUUUGCAACUAUGAUACGCAUAAUUACGAGAGUAUGAAAAAUUUAUGCGACAAAUUUAACCGAGCUAUUGACAGUCGGGUCCAAUUGGAAAAAGGUACUAGUCUGCCAAUGCAAAGACUAAAUAAAAGACCUAGUAGAGGGUUACUCCGUCAUAUACUUCAGCAGACGUAUAAUCAAGCAGUAGUAGAGCCAGAUAAAUUGAAUCAGUACGAACCCUUUUCGCCAGAAGUCUAUGGAGAAACAAGUUAUGAACUUGUCUGCCAAAUGAUUGAUCAAAUUGCUGUCACCGACGACGACGUAUUUGUAGACCUAGGAUCUGGGGUAGGGCAGGUAGUUCUUCAAAUGGCAGCUGCUACGUCUUGCAAAAUUUGCAUAGGCGUAGAAAGAGCUGAUGUCCCAUCCAGAUAUGCACAGAGCAUGGAGUAUAACUUUCGGAAGUGGUUAAGUUGGUACGGUAAGCGUUGUGGAGAAUACCGGCUGGUUAAAGGAGAUUUUCUCGCUGACGAACACCGUGAAAGUAUAACAGGGGCCACUAUUGUUUUUGUGAACAAUUUCGCGUUUGGUCCAACGGUAGAUCACCAAUUGAAAGAACGUUUUGCCGACUUGCGAGAUGGUGCGAGAAUCGUUUCAUCAAAAUCCUUUUGUCCGCUGAACUUCCGCAUUACUGACCGUAAUCUUAGUGACAUAGGUACCAUAAUGCACGUCUCAGAAAUGUCCCCGCUAAAAGGGUCUGUGUCAUGGACUGGAAAACCAGUCUCGUAUUAUCUUCACGUUAUUGACAGAACAAAAUUAGAGAGAUAUUUCCAUCGGCUGAAAAAUAACAAAUCUGGGGGAUUAGACAUGGAACAAUCUGAUUCUGUGAUUAGUAACACUGCCAGCCACAGUAGUAGAACGUCAAGUCGAGGUGCUGAGAGGGGUGACCGGGCCAAAAGAGAUCUCUCUAGGCAACUCGACAGCCCCAAUCACUCCGAGCAACUGGGUACAAACAGCGAUUCUGAUUUAGAAGAAAGUAGCUUGAAGAAUCGCCGGCAGCCGUCUAAACUUCGUAGAAAAUUAAAUCGUAAACCCUCCAAUGGAGUUCCUAGGCCUCCAGCAAGAGGUCGCCAAAGAGGCAGAGGUGUGAAGAAGGCAAGGCCCAAGAAAGCUAUCAAUAUUUCGGGCCUGGAUUUACUUCACAGCCAAACAUUAUUGAGUACUUCACCCCAAGCACUCGGUAAAAAACCACCUCCUGCCCCUGGAUGCGUUGAUCAACAUCUUUCUUCUUUAUCACUUGCGCUCCAGCCGCAUUCUACUUCUGUUCAUGAAGAAUUAAGUAUACCAGCAGCCCCAUCUGCUACUCCUUAUGCUCUGCAAAUUUUGCUUGAUCUUCAUAGGGACCAAUUUAUGGUGAUGCUUGAGUCUAUGAGGACACCUGCUUACAGAAUAUCUGUAAAUACGGACAUCGCAAAAGAACGAGAGAGGAAUUCAAAGUUGCAGUCUAGAGCUGCUCAACUUGAAAAACAGAUAAAAGUGUUGAUUGAUGACAGUGUAGCAUUGUUGAAAGCUAGGAUGACAGAAUUGGGAAUUAAUGCAACUUCUCCAGGAGAUUUGUUGGCUAAGGCAAAGGAGAUUGUUUUAAGGCACAAACAGCUCCAAGCCAAAGCAAGUAAACUCCAAGCGCAAGUAUCUUCUAUGGAAGCUGAACAAUCUAGGCUCACAGCAAUUAGACAUCAAGAACUACAAGAAAAGUACAACAGUCAUACUCACAUCAACAGUCUUGCAAAUCCACCACAAUCCCUAACUCAAGACUAUAUAUUAAAAGAAAUAUCUGCCACCUUAUCGCAACGGAAGAGGCUGCAUACCCAGGUAUCAAAAUUGGAGCAUGAGCUAAAUGUGUUAGAACGAGUAAGCAAUGAAAAACCACCAGUGGCAGUGGUUCCGCAACAAUUGCGUGAAGUAGUUGGGUCUAAACAUACUCAAAAUCAGCACCAAUCGCUACAAAACAAAAGUGGUUUUUCACGUAAAAGUAGAGAAGGGCGUUCCAGAUCUCAGGAGUGGCCGGAUGUUCCUGACAUAGCAAAGAUUCAAGAGAAUAAUCCUGAAAUUUUAGCGCAAAAAAUCUUGGAAACAGGAAGACAGAUAGAAGCUGGUAGAAUACCAAAUAGAUCAAAUACGAACACGGUCACCACUGCCAGAGCCAAAUUGCCGCAAGCAACGCUUAGCUUCUCGUCUACGUCUUCGUCCGUUCAAUCGCAAGUCAAUAGCAGAGAAUCGAUACACAAAGGCCAGGAACCGCCGAGAGUAGCUAAUUUUGAAGAUAGGUUAAAGAGCAUUAUCACGAGUGUUCUUAACGAAGAUCAACAAAAUAGGAGUAAGCAGAUGCAGUUGCAAGUGCAGCAGAUGCAGCGGCAAGUGGAACCAGAGAGGAAACGUGUUGCGUUACCACAAAAUGUUACCACUCCUGAUUAUACGCAGGUAUCUCCAGCAAAAUUGGCACUCCGAAGACACCUCUCACAGGAGCGUCUCUCUUCUCAUUUGACCACGUCAGACAGAUCUACAGUUGAUGGCCGACAAUUGCCGCAUGACAGUCGAAUAGCAGGAGUAGCAGGAAAUGUGGAAGGUGGAGGAGGUGCAGGUGCAGGUGGAGGAUCAGGAACUGGAACUGGUUCGAGUCCAGGAAUAGGAUCAGGAACAGGGGUAGGAGCAGGAGCAGGAGCAGGAGCAGGAGCAGGAAGAGGUGGCGGAACAACAGGUGAAGGAGGAGGAGGAGGAGGAGGAGGAGGAGGCAGAGGUAGUGGGGGAAUGCUCGGGACCCGAACCAUUGGUGAUCUAGUGAGUGGAGAAAUUGAACGAACGCUUGAGAUCUCAAAUCAGACCAUCAUAAAUGCUGCAGUAGACAUGAGCGUUAUGGCACGUGCUGAAGCAGUCUAUUCACCAAUUAGUAGACCUGCUAGUGCCGAGGGCGAUGCGGGGUUAGUAACUCUAGCACAUGUAGCCAGCUACGCCCCCACUCCCACUCCAACUAGCAGUUCCACCCCCAUGACUGCUACUCGGUCAUCUGUUCUGUAUACUCCUACCACGCAACCACAGAGAUACACGCCGGUUCAGCUACCUCGAGCUGAUAUCAAACCUUAUCAUGAGUCUUACUUUACCGAUACUCCGUCGCAAAUUCCCACACAGUCUCAUCCUUCCCUACCCGUACAAUCGUCUCAAACAAUAGCCAACGGUGAAUUGCUACCUGUGGAAGGACUAGCUGCUUCUCUACAUGCGCGGUUACUCAACAACCAAAACACCACCACCAGUACUGUCAAAAGUGAACCAACUGUUCUGGGCAGUAGAAGGUAUCAACCAUACCCACGUUAUACAACUGGGAAUAGCAGUAGCAACGGUAGCGGAGCUCCAUCGCAGUCACAUGCGGUGGUAUUGAUAAAAACUGAAACACCAGCUUCGAGUGUAAGCACGAGCGGUGCCCCUCUGAGUCCUUUGGUGGAACCCCACUCCAAUACAUCUACACCUCUAGUCGAUGAACCGCAAAUGACAAAUCAACGACAGCGAAAUGCAACAGGGGAUGACGAUGCACUGUAGCUGUUUGUUGGUUAGCUCUGUCUGUCACACACUCAAUCUCACUCACAACCCCUGAAGCUUGUUUUGUUAGAGAUUGAGACGCACAGAACAGAGGGAGAAAUCAGAAAGAAUGGCUGCCUUUGGGUUGGUGCGUGGUUGCCGAUGGGGAAGCUGACUGGCAGGACCGAAUCACCUCAGGGUUUGACCGACUAGUUGCAUUUGCAUCCACCGAAUUGGAUAAACGAAG